CCUGAGUAUGUGCUCCUUGCUGUAAACAUGGACAAACAAUAAUUAUGUGGUCUUUUAGGUGGGCACAAUGAAGCGAAGGAUGCCCAUGAAGGGCCUACAUACAUCU